rnacentral:rRNA from 1 species
GGAUGAACGCUGGCGGCGUGCCUAACACAUGCAAGUCGAACGGGAUGCGUAUCGGAAAGCUUCGGCCGGAAGAUACGUUAUCUAGUGGCGGACGGGUGAGUAACACGUGGGUAACCUGCCUUAUGGAGGGGGAUAACAGAGAGAAAUCACUGCUAAUACCGCAUAAGCACACAGUACCGCAUGGUACAGGGUGAAAAGAUUUAUCACCAUAAGAUGGACCCGCGUCUGAUUAGCCAGUUGGCAGGGUAAAAGCCUACCAAAGCAACGAUCAGUAGCCGAUCUGAGAGGAUGACCGGCCACAUUGGGACUGAGACACGGCCCAAACUCCUACGGGNNNNNNNNNNAAUAUUGCACAAUGGGGGAAACCCUGAUGCAGCGACGCCGCGUGAGUGAAGAAGUAUUUCGGUAUGUAAAGCUCUAUCAGCAGGGAAGAUAAUGACAGUACCUGACUAAGAAGCCCCGGCUAACUACGUGCCAGCAGCCGCGGUAAUACGUAGGGGGCAAGCGUUAUCCGGAUUUACUGGGUGUAAAGGGAGCGUAGACGGAGUGGCAAGUCUGAAGUGAAAACCCUGGGCUUAACCUGGGGACUGCUUUGGAAACUGUUAAUCUAGAGUGUUGGAGAGGUAAGUGGAAUUCCUGGUGUAGCGGUGAAAUGCGUAGAUAUCAGGAAGAACACCGGAGGCGAAGGCGGCUUACUGGACAAUAACUGACGUUGAGGCUCGAAAGCGUGGGGAUCAAACAGGAUUAGAUACCCUGGUAGUCCACGCUGUAAACGAUGAAUACUAGGUGUCGGGGAGCAAAGCUUUUCGGUGCCGUCGCAAACGCAAUAAGUAUUCCACCUGGGGAGUACGUUCGCAAGAAUGAAACUCAAAGGAAUUGAC